ensembl:lncRNA
GUUUUCAGGUUCCAGGUUGGAUGGUGUUUUCAGGUUCCAGGUUGGAUGGUGUUUUCAGUUCCAGGUUGGAUGAUGUUUUCAGGUUCCAGGUUGGAUGGUGUUUUCAGUUCCAGGUUGGAUGGUGUUUUCAGUUCCAGGUUGGAUGGUGUUUUCAAGUUCCAGGUUGGAUGGUGUUUUCAGGUUCCAGGUUGGAUGGUGUUUUCAGGUUCCAGGUUGGAUGGUGUUUUCAGUUCCAGGUUGGAUGGUGUUUUCAGUUCCAGGUUGGAUGGUGAUUUCAGGUUCCAGGUUGGAUGGUGUUUUCAGGAUCCAGGUUGGAUGGUGUUUUCAGGUUCCAGGUUGGAUGGUGUUUUCAGGUUCCAGGUUGGAUGGUGUUUUCAGGAUCCAGGUUGGAUGGUGUUUUCAGGUUCCAGGUUGGAUGGUGUUUU